GGGCAGGACAGCCGACCUGAGAAAACGCAACUACACCUGGAGCAAGACCUUUCCUGGCUUGGCAAUCCCAGGCGGAGCCGGCAUUAAAGGACCGAGCUGCCCCUGAGAACUGAAGGGCAAUGACAGCAGCAAAAACCUCAGUGCUGUUGUCUACGGUGACUAUGUGAGAACCAAAACGUCUGAGGAAGCCAGGCUGUCAAAAUGGUUGUUCUCUAUACUCACAGGUAAUAUGGAUCAUCUAGCCUGAAGUGGAAAUCAAACCCUUAAGGUAAUAUUGCCGUUGAAUCCUCAACACACCCAACUCCCCGUUUCUCAUUCCCUUAAUAAAACUUCAUUAAAAUCCCCUCGAA